GGUGUUGUGGCUCAGUGGUAGAGCGCUUGCCUUGAAUGUGUAAGGCACUGGGUUCGACUCUCAGCACCA
rnacentral:tRNA from 1 species